rnacentral:rRNA from 1 species
AUGCAGCUAGCUGUUCAAUGCAUGCGCAAGCACACACACAACCAGCCGAGCAGUUUCUUGGUUCAGUUCAGAUACCACAACAGUUGGGACCCCAGCGACAACCACGUCGGCAUAGACGUCAAUUCCAUCAACUCCACAACCUACACAAACGUGACCAACCUACUCGCGGGUGACGACGCCAUCAUGAUCGCCCAGAUCAGCUACGACCAUUGUACAGAUGUUCUAGCCGCCCGUCUCCAGAUCCAGGGCGACGAGACGCUCAACAACAUGUUUACGUACGUGAACAUGAAAGGGGAACUGCCCCAACAAGUUGCAAUAGGUUUCUCCGCCGCAACUGGUACCUGCGCCGAGCUGCAUCAGGUGUCAUCUUGGUCAUUUAGCUCCACUCUAGAUGCAUGA